UACGAAGGUCCCAAGCGUUAUCCGGAUUCACUGGGUUUAAAGGGUGCGUAGGCGGGUUGGUAAGUCCGUGGUGAAAUCUCCAAGCUUAACUUGGAACUGCCGUGGAUACUAUCAAUCUUGAAUAUAGUGGAGGUGAGCGGAAUAUGUCAUGUAGCGGUGAAAUGCUUAGAUAUGACAUAGAACACCCAUUGCGAAGGCAGCUCGCUACACUAUUAUUGACGCUGAGGCACGAAGCGUGGGAUCAAACAGG
rnacentral:rRNA from 1 species